UGCAGUCGAGCGGACAGAUGGGAGCUUGCUCCCUGAUGUUAGCGGCGGACGGGUGAGUAACACGUGGGUAACCUGCCUGUAAGACUGGGAUAACUCCGGGAAACCGGGGCUAAUACCGGAUGCUUGUUUGAACCGCAUGGUUCAAACAUAAAAGGUGGCUUCGGCUACCACUUACAGAUGGACCCGCGGCGCAUUAGCUAGUUGGUGAGGUAAUGGCUCACCAAGGCAACGAUGCGUAGCCGACCUGAGAGGGUGAUCGGCCACACUGGGACUGAGACACGGCCCAGACUCCUACGGGAGGCAGCAGUAGGGAAUCUUCCGCAAUGGACGAAAGUCUGACGGAGCAACGCCGCGUGAGUGAUGAAGGUUUUCGGAUCGUAAAGCUCUGUUGUUAGGGAAGAACAAGUACCGUUCGAAUAGGGCGGUACCUUGACGGUACCUAACCAGAAAGCCACGGCUAACUACGUGCCAGCAGCCGCGGUAAUACGUAGGUGGCAAGCGUUGUCCGGAAUUAUUGGGCGUAAAGGGCUCGCAGGCGGUUCCUUAAGUCUGAUGUGAAAGCCCCCGGCUCAACCGGGGAGGGUCAUUGGAAACUGGGGAACUUGAGUGCAGAAGAGGAGAGUGGAAUUCCACGUGUAGCGGUGAAAUGCGUAGAGAUGUGGAGGAACACCAGUGGCGAAGGCGACUCUCUGGUCUGUAACUGACGCUGAGGAGCGAAAGCGUGGGGAGCGAACAGGAUUAGAUACCCUGGUAGUCCACGCCGUAAACGAUGAGUGCUAAGUGUUANGGGGGUUUCCGCCCCUUAGUGCUGCAGCUAACGCAUUAAGCACUCCGCCUGGGGAGUACGGUCGCAAGACUGAAACUCAAAGGAAUUGACGGGGGCCCGCACAAGCGGUGGAGCAUGUGGUUUAAUUCGAAGCAACGCGAAGAACCUUACCAGGUCUUGACAUCCUCUGACAAUCCUAGAGAUAGGACGUCCCCUUCGGGGGCAGAGUGACAGGUGGUGCAUGGUUGUCGUCAGCUCGUGUCGUGAGAUGUUGGGUUAAGUCCCGCAACGAGCGCAACCCUUGAUCUUAGUUGCCAGCAUUCAGUUGGGCACUCUAAGGUGACUGCCGGUGACAAACCGGAGGAAGGUGGGGAUGACGUCAAAUCAUCAUGCCCCUUAUGACCUGGGCUACACACGUGCUACAAUGGACAGAACAAAGGGCAGCGAAACCGCGAGGUUAAGCCAAUCCCACAAAUCUGUUCUCAGUUCGGAUCGCAGUCUGCAACUCGACUGCGUGAAGCNGGAAUCGCUAGUAAUCGNGNUCAGC
rnacentral:rRNA from 1 species